AACUGACGACUCAAAACUGAUUCUGUGAAAUUUUUGCCCUGCUUCGUUUUGUUUUCUGUUAUUUGGGGUAAACUAUGCCAGUCUAUAACAUAAACGAGACAACCAUUAAAAACCCCCUCAUUGUUUUAUGUGCUUGUAAAAGAGAUGGAAAAUGUGAAAACUUCAGGUUGGAGAAGAUGCAGAUGGUGUGGUGAUGCAAAUGGGAAAAUUCUCAGUUUGAACAAGUUUGUGAGGAUUGCAGAUCCUGGACACGAAGUUAAAAUCCCGGACCUGCUGAUCCACUUUUAAUUGAAACACACAGGACAGACAAAGAGACGACUAAGUCUGUGCCAAGACGUCACCACUUUUUCAGGAUUAGCCAUGGAAUCCCUCCAUUGUUCCACUGCCUCAGGAGAACUGCUGUCAAAACCCAAGAGGACCUGGAAAUGAAGAAAUACACAAAGACUGAAACUUAGGGCUUACCCCAGUGACCUAAAUAUCACAGGAGAGACGUGAGCAGAACUAGUGCAGCUGUGUAAUUUGUGAUGUAAGUAAAAUAUGUGGUCCAGUGGGUGAAUGCAGCACUGUGGGUAAUUGCAGGUGGAAGUUUAAAAAAAAUUUCAAAGAACCUUACUGUCAAAAUUAGGAAGGAUCUGUAGAGGGAGAGACAUUUGGGAUUAGAUAUGCAGU